AGAUUCAACCAACCAUGAAUUCAACCAACUGCAGAUCGUGCAGUACUGUAGUAUGUAUUUAUUGAAAAAACUUCAUGUAUUAAGCGGAUCAGCGCGGCUCUAACCUGUGUCAUUCAAGGGUCAACUGCAGACCCUAGUCUAUUCUUACAUAGGCCUAAGGUCUCCCACAAUGGAAUGUCAACCCAAAAGGAAUUUCUAACUUGUUCAUCGCCGUACAGUGCCUGGCACUUAGCGCUCAUUUGUUGAAUGAAUGCUAAAUAAAUUGAAAUGAUGCCAUUUUUAAAAGUUAAUAACAAAGUAUCGAUUAUCUACUAUAAAUUCUAAGUGAUGAUAUUUAGGCUUAGAUUGGUAAGAAUAAACAACACUUUACAAAAUAAAAAUCAAUUUGGAAUACCUG